CUUUACUCUAAUCAAUCAUAAAAAAGUGUUACAGAAAUUAUAUUCAUUAACAUUUACUUCCUUUCAAAAUUCCUUAAUUGAGUACUGUCACGAUAAACUUCGACUCAUAUCUUAGAAUUAAACAGUUUAUAUCUUGUCCGGACAUUUUUAAAUACCUUCCUCACUAGUUAUAUAGAUUACUAUUACGUGUAAACAUAAUAUAUAAUAUACAAUAUACAUAUCGUUUUCACAACUACAAGGAAUCAUUCUCAAUUAGUGAUAGGGGACGUCUAGAACAUUUUGUGAAGUACUUAGGAAUUAUCUAUAAAGUUGUAAGAGAAAGGUUAAGUUCGAGGAAGAUUCAAAACGGAAAGUCCUUAUAAUCCCAAGAGGUUUCUUUUCAUUUAUGUCCUUUAUCAAACUCCCCGGCAGUUCCAGUUCCGAUCCGCAUACGGGCCCGAAUACUACUCUACACUAAUGGAGUAAAGGAAAACAGUUCCGGAACGGAAACGAUCACUGUCCGGAGUUUGGUCCUUUAUGUUAUGAAUUUCUGUAUACAUGGUAUACGUAGUCAAGCAUUUUACUCUAGUCUUAAUAAUUCAAGUUCACGAGUUAUUAACUCCUGAUCAUCAUUUCAAAGUUAAUACUCCUAUGUUUCUCUUAUUCGCU
rnacentral:lncRNA from 1 species